rnacentral:rRNA from 1 species
GACAGAGGAUGCAAGCGUUAUCCGGAAUGAUUGGGCGUAAAGCGUCUGUAGGUGGCUUUUUAAGUCUGCCGUCAAAUCCCAGGGCUUAACCCUGGACAGGCGGUGGAAACUACCAAGCUGGAGUACGGUAGGGGCAGGGGGAAUUUCCGGUGUAGCGGUGAAAUGCGUAGAUAUCGGAAGGAACAUCAGUGGCGAAAGCGACUUCCUGGACCAAUACUGACGCUCAUGUGCGAAAGCGUGGGGAGCAAACAGG